rnacentral:rRNA from 1 species
UACAGAGGGUGCAAGCGUUAAUCGGAAUUACUGGGCGUAAAGCGUGCGUAGACGGUUACAUAAGUCGGGUGUGAAAGCCCCGGGCUCAACCUGGGAAUUGCAUUCGAGACUGCGUAGCUAGGGUACGGUAGAGGGAAGCGGAAUUUCCGGUGUAGCGGUGAAAUGCGUAGAUAUCGGAAGGAACACCAGUGGCGAAAGCGGCUUCCUGGACCAGUACCGACGUUCAGGCACGAAAGCGUGGGGAGCAAACAGG